UCGCCUGUUUUCAAAAACAUGGCCUGUUGAUUAUAAUUUUAGGUCUAGCCUGCCCACUGAGAAUUUAAAUGGCCGCGGUAUUUUGACCGUGCAAAGGUAGCAUAAUAAUUAGUUUUUUAAUUGAAAGCUGGAAUGAAUGGUUGGAUAAGAAAAUAACUGUCUCUUUUAAAUUUUUAUAGAAUUUUAUUUUUAAGUUAGAAAGCUUAAAUUUGGUUAAAAGACGAGAAGACCCUAUAGAGUUUUAUAAAAACUAGAAUUUUUUUCUUUUUAGUAUAUUUAGGUGAAAUUUUAUUUUUUAUUUGGUUGGGGUGAUUAAAAAAUUAAAUAAACUUUUUUUAUAAUUUUACACUAAUAAGUGAUUUUUGAUCCAAUUUUUGAUAAA
rnacentral:rRNA from 1 species